UGGGUACUGACUCAGGCAUUCUACGAGCACAGAUCUCAAAAGACGUUGAAACUCUUGUUGAUGUAAUUGCUUCAUGGACAUCUUCAAAUUCUGGUCCAAGACUACUUCGCCCAUGAUCACCCAGCAGUCUGCGUACAGAAAUGUUAGUAACAGUGAAGAGCAACAGGAUUUAAUGAUGCAUUGUGAGUAACAAAAAGGUAGAUUGCACUUCAGCGCGACUGUCUUAGUAUUUUAGAUCCAUACUAUAGUUCAGAAAAAAGUGAAGAUAUGUAUUUAUAUGGUGUAUUUUUGAACCAAGAUAUUUUGAUAGAAGGAAACUUUAUAAGGAAUAGAAAUAGAAUGAUAGAUUCUGGAUACGGUAAAGCUGCUAAGCUGUAUGAAAGGAGUCUUGGCAAUUCAGCAUUUCUAACUAGGAACAAAACUUUAUGGGGUGUUUGGUUUGAAGAAUCAAUUCAUUCUAUAUGAGGUGUUGUAUCAUAAGUCUAUUCCACAAAUUUAGUGAAAUAAACUUAUUUCUUAUAUUAUUACUAAUUAUUAGUUUAUGAGGAAUGAAAUGGCGAUAGAUCAACUCAUUUCAUUCCACAAAUUAAACAAAAAAAUAAGUAGGGAGAAGAUGACGAACUACCUUAUUUCUCGAACUAAACACACUAAUAGUAUGACAGAUAGGAGGUGAGUCUUGGGUCAGCAACUCCUGAUGCCAAUUUGACUAAACAAUAUAUGGUCACCUUGGUGUUUGAAUGCAUAGCCUCAUAGGCCUAGCCUAUGACCUAAUCACGAUCUCACCGCUUGUGCCUGGUUUGGUUUGAUUUUUAUUAGUACACAGAAAUGUUUUGACUGUUCAUGGUUUUUCAUAUUGAUCCUUCUGCAGCAAUGGAAAAGUGUAUGCUUCUAUACUGAAGAUGCCCUGGUUGACCUGCAUAUCAUUAUUAAUUUUAUCAUAUUUUAUCAUGUGUAAUCUAUUAUCUGUUGAGCAUGUUAAGUUCUAUUGUGCUGACAGAUGAUACGAGACGUUGGCAAUUAAGGAGUUAUGUUACCUUGGCCGGUGGAGGAAGGAUGCAUGGCACUGGCAAUAGGAGCUUUUGUGGACAAACUAUCUUAACCCAUUGGCAAAGGCAAGAUCUCCUUCCCAGAUAUUUUAGUCUGUAAUCAAUUUGGAUUAAAGGUAAACAAUAUAGGCUUAUAAGGUGAACUAAGUAAGUUAGGAUAUUUCUCCCCACUAAAUGUAUUAAGAUCUUAUAUUCAAGAUGACUGAGUAAGAGAUGCUAGUAAAUGGACAAUGAAAUUACGUAUCUUAUAU
rnacentral:lncRNA from 7 species